rnacentral:misc_RNA from 1 species
GAUGAAGAACGUAGCGAAAUGCGAUAAGUAGUGUGAAUUGCAGAAUUCAGUGAAUCAUCGAAUCUUUGAACGCACAUUGCGCCCCAUGGUAUUCCAUGGGGCAUGCCUGUUCGAGCGUCAUUUGUACCCUCAAGCUCUGCUUGGUGUUGGGUGUUUGUCCUGCCUUGCGUAUGGACUCGCCUCAAAGUUAUUGGCAGCCGGCGUAUUGUCCGUGGAGCGUAGCACAUUUUACGCACCUGGUAUCAAAGCGCAGGCGUCCAUAAAGCCUAACUUAUCACUUUUGACCUCGGAUCAGGUAGGGAUACCCGCUGAACUUAAGCAUAUCAAUAGGCGGAGGA